rnacentral:rRNA from 1 species
ACAGAUCGUUCAGAGUUUGAUCCUGGCUCAGGAUGAACGCUGGCGGCGUGCUUAACACAUGCAAGUCGAACGAGGUUAUUACAGUUGAAGUUUUCGGAUGGAUACAGUUUUAACCGAGUGGCGGACGGGUGAGUAACGCGUGGGGAACCUGCCCCAUUCCGGGGGAUACCAGUUGGAAACGACUGUUAAUACCGCAUAAGCGCACGGUACCGCAUGGUACGGUGUGAAAAACUCCGGUGGAAUGGGAUGGCCCCGCGUCUGAUUAGGCAGUUGGCGGGGUAACGGCCCACCAAACCGACGAUCAGUAGCCGACCUGAGAGGGUGACCGGCCACAUUGGGACUGAGACACGGCCCAA